rnacentral:tRNA from 1 species
GAAAUAUAUUUUUAAGCUGCUAACUUAAUACUUAGUGAUUAAUAUCAUUAAUAUUUCU